rnacentral:ncRNA from 1 species
UUAACUCCCUGUUCUUUUUUGACUUCUUUUUUCUCCAAUAACCUUGGGGGCGUGCUCGUUUACGAAAGAAAAGUCAAAAACGAACAGAAAGCCUCCCACUGGGAGGUUUUUUU